CCCUUAGAUGUUCUGGGCCGCACGCGCGCUACACUGACGAAUGCAACGAGCUUAUAACCUUGGCCGAAAGGUCUGGGUAAUCUCCAAAUUUCGUCGUGAUGGGGAUAGAUUAUUGCAAUUAUUAAUCUUCAACGAGGAAUGCCUAGUAAGCGCAAGUCAUCAGCUUGCGUUGACUACGUCCCUGCCCUUUGUACACACCGCCCGUCGCUCCUACCGAUUGAAUGGUCCGGUGAAGCGUUCGGACCGUGGCCUUUGGACGGUUCGCCGUCUGUUGGCUGCGGGAAGUUCGUUAAACCUUAUCAUUUAGAGGAAGGAGAANUCGUAACA
rnacentral:rRNA from 1 species